rnacentral:lncRNA from 1 species
UCCACCUACUCUGAUUAAAAACUAGCAUUUAUUUAUAUAUUGAAAAGUUUGAGGUCAGAGAGGGGUUGAGCCUUGGUUACGUCCAGUCCUUCCCCAAUAUCUCCACCUACUUCUUGCUUGGUCGUGGCCUUAAAUAAAGCAAAAGGUUCCCAAUGUGGAAGGCGUGGCAAUGCCUACUUUCCGGUUAGUGGCAAUUAUGGGGCACUGAGAGGGUCGCAAUAGAAGGCAAAGGAGAAAGCCAACCACCACAAGAAUGCCCUCCAAAGCAAAAGAGCUGCUUCUGAACCAUCCUUCCUUUCAAUUUAAGCCUAAAAGGCUAUCCAUUUGGAAGAAGACUUGUUGCUCUCUUAUUGGUGGAAGCACCAUCUUUUUCCCGGAAAAUGGACACUUGGACCAAUGGUUAGGGAGAAAGAGUUUGUCUCACAUUUUUCCUCUGGCUUCCUUCUGGGAUGUGGAUGAAGAGGCUUCUUGAUAAUCUUGGAGUGGUGAUCGUCAGUUUUAUAUCAUGCUUUGUUCCAUCUCGAACAAGUCCGUGUCAUGUAAAUUGCUAUAAAGCUAAUAAAGUGAACUUUGUUUUUAUAUCAAAACCAACAGCAUCAAGUCUUUAGGACCACA